rnacentral:rRNA from 1 species
CCUACGGUGGGCAGCAGUGAGGAAUAUUGGUCAAUGGGCGGGAGCCUGAACCAGCCAAGCCGCGUGAGGGAAGAAGGUACAGCGUAUCGUACACCUCUUUUGUCAGGGCACAAAGGCGGGGACUAGUCCCCGGAUGAGGGUACCUGAAGAAAAAGCAUCGGCUAACUCCGUGCCAGCAGCCGCGGUAAUACGGAGGAUGCGAGCGUUAUCCGGAUUGAUUGGGGUUAAAGGGUGCGCAGGCGGCCUGUUCAGGCAGCGUUAAAAGCCCGGGGCGCAACCCCGGCGCGCCGUUGAAACUGGCGGGUUGGAGUUGGAGAGAAGUACGCGGAAUGCGCGGUGUAGCGGUGAAAUGCUUAGAUAUCGCGCAGAACCCCGAUUGCGAAGGCAGCGUACCGGCUCCACACUGACGCUGAGGCACGAAAGCGUGGGUAUCGAACAGGAUUAGAUACCCUGGUAGUC